rnacentral:rRNA from 1 species
GACGAACGCUGGCGGCGUGCCUAAUACAUGCAAGUAGGACGCAGUUUCGAACGGGUGAGUAACGCGUAGGUAACUGCCUAUUAGAGGGGGAUAACUAUUGGAAACGAUAGCCAAUACCGCAUACUUGUAGAUUGACCUGCGUUGUCUUAGCUAGUAGGGAGGGUAAUGGCCUACCUAGGCAACGAUACAUAGCCGACCUGAGAGGGUGAUCGGCCACACUGGGACGGAGACACGGCCCAGACUCCUACGGGAGGCAGCAGUAGGGAAUUUUCGGGAAUGGGGGGAACCCUGAUCCAGCCAUGCCGCGUGUGUGAAGAAGGUCUUCGGAUUGUAAAGCACUUUAAGUUGGGAGGCGGUACCAACAGAAUAAGCACCGGCUAACUUCGUGCCAGCAGCCGCGGUAAUAC